rnacentral:tRNA from 1 species
GGAGAGUACAGCUCAAGUGGUAGAGCACAUGCUUAGCAUGCACGAGGUCCUGGGUUCAAUCCCCAGUACCUCCC